rnacentral:misc_RNA from 1 species
AAAGUCGUAACAAGGUUUCCGUAGGUGAACCUGCGGAAGGAUCAUUAUUGAAUAAAUCUGAUGGGUUGUAGCUGGCUCUUCACAGGGCAUGUGCACACCUAUCACCUUUAUCUCUCCACCUGUGCACACUAUGUAGAUCUGGAUACCUCUCGCUGUAAUGGCGGAUGCGGAGACUGCUGUGACUUCACUUGUGAAGGCCGGCUUUCUCUAAACUUCCAGGUCUAUGAACUUUACACACCCCAAACGAAUGUUAUAGAAUGUUAUCUUUAGGACUUGUUCCUAUAAACCAUAUACAACUUUCAGCAACGGAUCUCUUGGCUCUC